GCGAACCUCUUUCCACCUGUGUGGACUUGAUUGCGUGUGGACCGAACUGUGCCUGAGUUUCUGACUCUUUAGCUUAACUGUUUGUUCUUCCACCCGAAUGUAGUCGAGCAUUUUAAGACCAUUGUUUGUUUGUUUGUUUUGAUUAGUCAAAUAAUUCAUUAUUCUUCAACGUCCAAAGAAAACGGAACAAGUUUGGUGCGAUUUAUUGGGUUCUCUGAAGGACUGGUCUCCGGUCUUCUGUUUCCAGAGUCACUGUGUUGACAGACAACAGGAAGAUGAAGACAAAUAACAGAUGAAAAAUCACUGGACCAUAGUUUCUUAACCAUCAGAGGAAAGAAGUUCAAACUUUUCCAGCUUUACAUAAAGAGAAACCGACGUCAGCUGAUGAUGAAACCUUUCACAUUCCUCACCGUAAAAGAAAGAUGUCUUGACUCCAGAACUUUCUAAAUGCCGUGAGCCCUUGGGCCAGGGAAUCGUGCGCUGGUGUGCUGACUUAGUCUGAAGUGCUGUUAUGAAGGCAGUGUGUCAUUAGCAGUGAAGGUGAGAGCGUGGCCUGACGCCCCCUUCUGGGAGCCGUUAGUCACGACGCUGAUGCAGGAAAAAUAAUGGAAUAAUUAGUUAAGAAAAGUUUGGACUCAACCACGCGGUUAAAAUAGAAAAGGUGAGCAGAUAAAAUGUGAAGUGUUGUCUUGGCUGAUAAGUAUUCUUAUCUACUGCGUGUGUGUGUGUGUGUGUGUUUUACAUUACCUUAAUGUGAGUGUGAAAAGUGACCGACCUGAGAGACGACAGCCAGGUGAUGUCAUCAACAUCACCGUGGUGAUGAUUGGUUAAAGGGUGUCACCUGACUGUCUGUCCUGUGGACAGGAAGUGUUCUGUCGUGACAUCACCAUCGUUCAAUCUUCAGUCAAAAGUUUCAAUUAUGAAAAAAACCGAAACUGUUUCUCGUCACGUCCUGCGUCUUUGCCGCAGCCCACAGAGUUGUGUGACCACAUGUUCCUUAGCUAAGAGUCGGUACCAGGUACCAGUGUCCUCGUACGUAGUGUCACUGGUGUGUGAGCUGCAGAGUGAAAGAGGAAAAGACAGAGAAAGACGGUGAAAUAACUGUAAAAAAAGACCUUAAAGAAAUGAUCAAAGUAAAACUUAGUGCUUAGUGAGUAGUUGUUAUUUUUAGUUGAUGGUUCUGUUUGACAAACUCAGUCCGUUUAUGGGCUUUUAUUUUAGUUUUCUGAUCAGUGAUUGGCUGAACACAGACGGAUGAGACGGAUGUUGACUUUCAAGGUCAAACUGAACGAUUCCGUCCCCUGGAAAUGUCCCUCUUUAUUACUUCCUCCAUGUUCAUCAGCCAAGUUUCUCUCCUGAGAAUAAUCUUCCUUUCUUUUCUUGAAAAAAAAAAAAAAGUCAUCUUUUCAAAUCCAGGUCCCAUUGAUCAGCGACAGUGGUCCGACGGGAAUGACUGAAUGAGAAAAACAACUGGAGUGAAUUCCUGAUUCACAUCCGCUCAGCAGCUUGAGAAACAGUUGUAAUCAAUUUCAAAUGUCUUUGUUGAAUGUUGAAUAGUGAAAAUUCAUGACGUGGAUAUUAAUGAGAAGAGAGAAUUGUCGGUUUGACGUCUUUCAGCACCGCGUUGGGUGUUCCUCAGAGCGGCGGUGAAUCCGCCGUAACAGUGGUGUUGUGAUUGUUUUGAAGCCACCGUGGUCUCAGGUGUGUAGGGCGACCCCUGUUGGCCAUGGUUAAAAGGCUGUAGAUUAGAUUAGACCAGAUUGAACAUUAUUGAUCCCACACUGGGAAAAGUGUUGAAAUGAGUAGAAGAAAUCGCACCAGACAGGAAGUGGACCAACUGUCAGUCAAGUCUUAUUUCAUCCUCACUGG